UCUUGUUCAUGCUGUGUGACCAUCUUGGGUUGGUUGGGGAUGUGUUGUUCAUCCUUCCUAUGGGAUCAAGUUCAUAGAGCAGCAGCACUCUAGACUAGCUCAUUCCUUGUGGCAGGGAGAGAGCUUGUAAGGCACAUGCUGGGUUUUAGUGUUAGAGAGUGAGUGAGUGAGGAGGGUUAAGUCUGGAAAAGUAGGUAGGGAUGAGCACUCCUCAAAGGUCCCUGUGUGGAAGGCGUGGUAAUCAGGGUGAUGCUACUGGGAAAUUGGUGGCACCUUUAAGAGUUGGAGCUUUAAUGGAAUGUCCUUAGGUCAUUGGGGGUUGUGUCCCUGGAGGGGAUUGUUGGACCCCAGGCUCUCACUCUUUCGUUCUCUUCCUGGCUCCUAAGGAUCAGAGGAGCACUUCUCAGGACAGAUCCACGUUCUUGAGGACUCCUGGCCAGCAGCUGCAUACAUCAGAUCCUGCCUUAAUGUUUCCAGGUUGGACCUGGAAAGUCUGCAUCAUCAAAAAGAAGACACUUUUCUGGAGCAGCAGUGCCUACUAGAAACAAUGGCUACAAUGUGCUGGGGACCUCAGUGGAAGACCGUGUAAACUGCUCUGGUGAAUGGACGCUUUUCCAGAAGUAGAGGCUGCAUGGAGCCCUGUGCCUAGGGAUAAACCUGUGGUCAGCUGUCACAGCCUCACAGGGAGCCUCCCAGCCACCCAUUGCAGGUGGCCCAGGAAGCGAGGUACCCAGAGAAGGCAACUUCUGCCCCACUCUGGUCCGCCUGCCAAUGCUCUCCAGUGCCACUGGAGCCCGACCUAUGGACCUGAGGAAUGAACAAAGGUUUCCGCUGUUCAUUGUGAUCAUCCUGAUAAACACCCCUGAACAAUGAAGACAGUUCUGCUUCUCUGAGUGUCCUGGGAGUUUGGAUCUGGAUAAAAGGAGCUGGAAUUUCUACUUUUUUCUUCUGGCAAUCUGAACUGACCUCCCAUCCCAGGACAGCACCCCGAGUCCCUAUUUCCAUACACCUACCAUCACAUGGAUGUGGGCUCUAUGGGGAGCUUGAAUGUCUGGAGUUCUCCUUCAGAAAAAAGAACACAAAAUUAUUGUAAAGGUCUUGGCUUCAUUCUCUUUGGUGGCCUCUUACCAGGCCAUGAUUAUGUAGGGUCACUUUCCUGCAGAGACACAGGAAGACGCACUCACAGAAGGAAGACUCCAUCUGGAUGAGGUGUCAGGGAAAACCAAUUCCUUGUGUCCCACUGUGUGGGCUGAGAAAAGAGCCACCCCUCCCCGCAGCACUUCUUAUUUCCCACACUUCCUCUUCCUGGUGUUGGGCACUGUUGGGCAGAGUCCUCAGGGUGGGACAUCUGGGCAUGGAUCGCAGUGUCAUGACACAAAGUGACCUGGCAAGUGUGUUUUUGGAAGCCAUUCCUACCCCAGAAUAGCUGGCUGUGGCUUUACUCUACACAGCAUCAACUAUAACCCACUCUAUCUUACUGGACAUGACUGCAGCACAGAUGCUUCAUAGCCAGGUCCCCAGAUGCCCACAACUGUUCAAUGCUGCCUGACAGAAGCACACUGCAGGGGAAAGAAACAGUAAUUUUAACAGAUGUGGUUCAAAUAUCAAAUAACAGUACUUUUGCCUGUUUGAUAAAAAUAUCUGGACACAUG